GAUGAACGCUGGCGGCGUGCUUAACACAUGCAAGUCGAGCGAGAAGUUUUGAAAAGAUUCUUCGGAUGAAAUUUAAAAUGGAAAGCGGCGGACGGGUGAGUAACGCGUAGGCAACCUGCCCCAUACAAAGGGAUAGCAUUUGGAAACGAAUAUUAAUACCUUAUGAAACUUAACUAGUGCAUGCUAGGUAGGUCAAAGAUUUAUCGGUAUGGGAUGGGCCUGCGUCUGAUUAGCUAGUUGGUGAGGUAACGGCUCACCAAGGCGACGAUCAGUAGCCGACCUGAGAGGGUGAACGGCCACAUUGGAACUGAGACACGGUCCAAACUCCUACGGGAGGCAGCAGUGGGGAAUAUUGCACAAUGGGGGAAACCCUGAUGCAGCAGCGCCGCGUGAACGAUGAAGGCCUUUGGGUCGUAAAGUUCUGUUCUAGGUGAUGAAAACUGACAGUAACCUAGGAGAAAGCCCCGGCUAACUCCGUG
rnacentral:rRNA from 1 species